rnacentral:rRNA from 1 species
UACGUAGGGGGCAAGCGUUGUCCGGAAUUAUUGGGCGUAAAGCGCGCGCAGGCGGUUCUUUAAGUCUGGUGUCUAAGUGCGGGGCUCAACCCCGUGAUGCACUGGAAACUGGGGAACUUGAGUGCAGAAGAGGAAAGCGGAAUUCCACGUGUAGCGGUGAAAUGCGUAGAGAUGUGGAGGAACACCAGUGGCGAAGGCGGCGAUCUGGGCAGAUACUGACGCUGAGGUGCGAAAGCGUGGGGAGCAAACAGG